rnacentral:rRNA from 1 species
AAAGCCAUAGAGAUAUGGCCCCCCUUGUGGUCGGUGUACAGGUGGUGCAUGGCUGUCGUCAGCUCGUGUCGUGAGAUGUUGGGUUAAGUCCCGCAACGAGCGCAACCCUUAUCUUAUGUUGCCAGCGCGUAAUGGCGGGGACUCGUGAGAGACUGCCGGGGUCAACUCGGAGGAAGGUGGGGACGACGUCAAGUCAUCAUGCCCCUUAUGUCCAGGGCUUCACACAUGCUACAAUGGCCGGUACAGAGGGCUGCGAUACCGUGAGGUGGAGCGAAUCCCUUAAAGCCGGUCUCAGUUCGGAUCGGGGUCUGCAACUCGACCCCGUGAAGUAGGAGUCGCUAGUAAUCGCAGAUCUGCAACGCUCGGGUGAAUAUGUUCCCGUGCCUUGUACACACCUCC